GAUGAACGCUGGCGGCGUGCCUAAUACAUGCAAGUCGAGCGAACGGACGAGAAGCUUGCUUUUCUGAUGUUAGCGGCGGACGGGUGAGUAACACGUGGAUAACCUACCUAUAAGACUGGGAUAACUUCGGGAAACCGGAGCUAAUACCGGAUAAUAUUUUGAACCGCAUGGUUCAAAAGUGAAAGACGGUCUUGCUGUCACUUAUAGAUGGAUCCGCGCUGCAUUAGCUAGUUGGUAAGGUAACGGCUUACCAAGGCAACGAUGCAUAGCCGACCUGACAGGGUGAUCGGCCACACUGGAACUGAGACACGGUCCAGACUCCUACGGGAGGCAGCAGUAGGGAAUCUUCCGCAAUGGGCGAAAGCCUGACGGAGCAACGCCGCGUGAGUGAUGAAGGUCUUCGGAUCGUAAAACUCUGUUAUUAGGGAAGAACAUAUGUGUAAGUAACUGUGCACAUCUUGACGGUACCUAAUCAGAAAGCCACGGCUAACUACGUG
rnacentral:rRNA from 1 species